rnacentral:rRNA from 1 species
CCUACGGGAGGCAGCAGCGAGGAAUUUUCCGCAAUGGGCGAAAGCCUGACGGAGCAACGCCGCGUGGGGGAAGAAGGCCUUCGGGUUGUAAACCCCUGUUGCGAGGGAAGAAGAUCUGACGGUACCUCGCGAGGAAGCCACGGCUAACUACGUGCCAGCAGCCGCGGUAA